UACGAAGGACGGACAUACUAACGACGCGUUAACUUUCAACUAGCGCGGCGCUACGGUUCGGUGCGGCGCGGUCCGCGUUUCCUCUGCCAAACGUUGGCCAGGGUCCGGCAUUAAGCCCACUGAGCCCUACCUAUUUUUCGAUACCCCUCUGUUGGGGUACCAAGCGGUCUGAAAAGGUGGAGCUACACACGCCGUCCGUCGAUUGGCGAUAGAAUCGUCACAUCUGUGCGACAGGGGGAUCAAAACAAUCAAAACACGGUACCCGCAAGUUGUAUUUAUUAGCAGGCCACACUGUGUCGCGCUGCUAUGACGUCACGAUGCUUGCGUAGCUGCCACGGCGAUCGCCAUCUGGCUUGAACCCCGCCCCACCAUAAGGGUACUGUCGGUGGAAAACGUGAGCCAUAACCAAGCUCUCCGGCUCCCGAGCCAAACCGCGCCGCACGGUGGUAACGCGGCAUUAGAUACUGGGUUAAAGGAACCGGGACACACUCCGUCACACUCGAUCGUAAAUCGGGAACCUGCACUGACGAAUAAAUGACAGCAUUAUUUUUGGCCCAGCGUGCUGGAGUGCAGUGAGCCUGAAGGGAGUCCCCACCAGUCCCUGCUUGGCCUCCUGGAGGGGAACUCUUCCCACCUGCAUGAAGGCCACAAGCAGUCUCUGCACCUGCUGCCAGGGAUGAGCAGCGACAGCGAGAUAGAUUGUGACUCAGAGGACGAGGACGCAAACCUCUCCUACGACAUCCAGUCUCUGCCUUUUGCAGAGGAGCAACUGCUGCCCGAGGACCUGGCCUUCAGCGCCAGCCAGCCCACCGACAGGUGAUGGGGUCUGCCCCCCGGGCUGGGUCCAGUACCUCGCUCUGAUUGGCCAGAUGGCUGCAGAGAGCAGCAGAUGGAGGAGUACACGCGUGAAGUCUCCCGGAGAACUGAUGCGUCCACUUUGUACAAUCUUAUAGAGCAGCUCACCUGGAAUGUCUUUCAGGACGUUUAGUUUGAGUUCUCUACCGUGAGCACACAGACUCCUGGUCAACCAUGUAUUUAAUGCACUUUUUGAGUUUUUACACUGUUAAUUACUGACGGAAUAUGUGCUAUCCCUGUAUUUCUGCUCUCAAACUCAUGGGAAUGAAACUGAAAUCAAAGCUUGACCCCACAUCAAUAUUUCCACUAUAUCACCCCUUGUGUACACCAACCUUUACACCCGACUGCCGGUUUCACAAAGACGUAAAGUCGAUUUGUAGGCAGAGCUGUCCUCCUGUUUGCAGUCGUCUGGCCUGAGGUUGGGAAAAAGGUAAAUAUUGUAAAUAUUUGAAACUGACCGUCUAAUUCCGCCUUUAUCAGCAGCUCAUAGCGGCUGACUUGUUUCAGGCUAGUUCUCGUUGGGCGAGGCCCGCUUUUCUUUACACCUUGUGAACGAUGCUUCACCACUCAUUUUGUUUCGGUUUUAUUGAGUUGUUAUGCAGCGUCUCAGCAGCAGAUGUGUGGGAGAGAUUCCCAUCGCUGCCAUUUAGUCGUAUUUCACUUUCCUUGUUGGGUGGUUUUAUCAGUCCUCUCACUCCCCAUAACUAAAGUGUAUUUUCAUUUGGGACCAUUCUUAUGUAGCUCGUGUCUUAUGGUGCAUCACAAACAGCCGUGUCUUGUAGUGUAAGGAUUACUGGGUCGGAGAGGUUCUUGUUCACAAGGGACAUUGAGGUAGAUAAAAUGUCGGCAGUGCAUGCAUCUUGCAUGAAGGAAUACUCACUGGUUUACAUUUGAAAAAUCUUGAACGCUGUUAUAAUUACGUGUGUGUGUGUGUGUGUGUGUGUGUGUGUGUGUGUGUGUGUGUGUGUGUGUGUGUGUGUGUGUGUGUGUGUGUGUGUGUGUGUGUGGUGUGACCUAAUUUCCUUUAGGGAAUCUUCUGAGGCAAGUUAGAAACUGAGGAUGGCUUGUGUGAUAUAAAUGUGGGGGGUGUGAUUGUGGGUGUGAUUGUGUGGGUCUGUAUGACUUUGUAUCAUUCCUCACUCUAAAGAUCAAUCUCUUGCUAACUCAAUUCAGUCUUGUAAAUUACACAAAAACACACUUCUGUGUUAUGAGUUGUGUGUACUAUUUCUGUGCUAUAUCACAAGUUGUUCCUUCUAAUGCACAUUAUUGAUUUGUUUGUGUUUGUGUGUGGCAUCAGAUAAGUAGAAUAAAAUAUUUAAUUAGAUUUUUUUGGCUCUGUGUUUCAUGCCUAUAUUAUUGGUGACCUCAAGCAGGGACUGCUUAUUGAGUAACUGUGACCCCAUUCUGUGGUAUCUACAGCUCACUUGUGUGUGUGUGGCAACAUAAUCCUAAUAAGUAGGUCUCGUAUUAUGCAGCAGGAUUUCUUUCACACUGUCUUUCAGAUGUUGAUGAAGCAAAUCAAUUUCAUCACUGAAUGCAAUGUUCUCAAUCAAUAAAGCUUUGAUUUAACCAAUUGCCAAAUUAGUACUAUGCUAUGUAGUUUAGUACCAUGCUUACAAAACGACUAAAACUUAGGCACGGGCAAUUUAAGCUCUAGUGUCAAGAGACCUAACACUCAUCAAG
ensembl:lncRNA